rnacentral:rRNA from 1 species
AAUUAGAGUGUUCAAAGCAGGCAGAUUCAAUUUUCUGCCACCGAAUACAUUAGCAUGGGAUAAUGGAAUAGGACCCUGUCCUCCUAUUUUCAGUUGGUUUUGGCAGCGCGAGGACUAGGGUAAUGAUUAAUAGGGAUAGUUGGGGGCAUUAAUAUUUAAUUGUCAGAGGUGAAAUUCUUGGAUUUAUGAAAGAUUAACUUCUGCGAAAGCAUCUGCCAAGGAUGUUUUCAUUAAUCAAGAACGAAAGUUAGGGGAUCGAAGACGAUCAGAUACCGUCGUAGUCUUAACCAUAAACGAUGCCGACCAGCGAUUAGGAGACGUUGAAUACAAAACACCACCAUCGGCGCGGUCGUCCUUGGCGUUCGUGUUCACGCACGGGCGCGAGGGCGGUUUAGCCCG